GUCUUCUUAGUAUAAUUAGUACUACUGACUUCCAAUUAGUAAGAUCCGCACAGCAGCGGAAGAAGAUA
rnacentral:tRNA from 1 species